rnacentral:rRNA from 1 species
CCUACGGGAGGCAGCAGUGGGGAAUAUUGGGCAAUGGGCGCAAGCCUGACCCAGCAACGCCGCGUGAAGGAAGAAGGCUGUCGGGUUGUAAACUUCUUGUAAGAGGGAAGAGCAGAAGACGGUACCUCUGGAAUAAGCCACGGCUACCGACGUGCCAGCAGCCGCGGUAAUACGGAGGUGGCAAGCGUUGUCCGGAUUUACUGGGUGGAAAGGGCGGGUAGCCGGGCUGACACGUCAGAUGUGAAAUUCCGGGGCUCAACCCCGGACCGGCCUUUGAAACUGUUGGUCUUGAGUAUCGGAGUGGCAGGCGGACUUCCUCUUGUAGCGGUGCACUUCGUCGACAUUAGGAGGACCCCCAGUGGC